GGGGGCGUUCUGGAUUCGACGGGGAUGGUAGAGCAUGAGAAGCGAGCCGGGGGGUUGCGGACCUCGUCAUCAACGCAAACGCCAUUAACUGGCAACAAACAACUUUCUCUCGCUGCUUAAUAACCAGUGAGGCUCUCCCACUGCAUCGGCCCGUGUGCCGUGGAUAGGGCUCAACUUUAACGGGCUACGCCGGAGGCUUCCGCCUGGAGCCAAAGGAAGAAGACCAAUCAGGCUAGGCUUUCGACUGGCGUGUCGUUUCGCAGGUCGUUUGCCGAAACAUUAUAAAGCGACUGCGCUCGGAGAUGCUCAUGUAUCGCUGUUUUCGGACGGGGGUUCGAAUCCCCCCGCCUCCACCA
rnacentral:tmRNA from 1 species